AGAGUUUGAUCAUGGCUCAGAACGAACGCUGGCGGCAGGCUUAACACAUGCAAGUCGAACGCGUGUAGCAAUACACGAGUGGCGCACGGGUGAGUAACACGUGGAUUAUCUGCCUUCUGGUUCGGAAUAACCCCGGGAAACUGGGGCUAAUACCGGAUAGUUCCUACGGGAUAAAGAUUUAUCGCCAGAAGAUGAGUCCG
rnacentral:rRNA from 1 species